rnacentral:lncRNA from 1 species
AAGGAGUAGAAGGAGGGAUACACAGCUGAAAACAGCCUCUACAUCAUAUAAAGGGGAUGAGAAGAAACACAAAGCAAGUUCACCCAUGCAAGACAUUCAGAAACCAAAAAACACUUUUUCCUGGACAGUGAGCAAAGAAGUGAGCAUUGAGGAAACAAAAGGCCCUGCACCUGUUUUGGUGGGAGUCAAGGUUUUGGCAAGAAUAUGAAUUGAAAGGGGACAUACUGUAGAGCACAUGACCCAUUCUUCGUGACCAUCAUGAUCAUUCGUUUGGGACUGGUAUUGAUCAGUAGCAGCUCUAAAUAUAGAUCAUGAAAACAAAUGCUGUGAUGGGCUCAAGUGAAGCGCUACCUAGAUCAGCAGUCACAAAGGCACCGAGAUUUGAAGGCUUUCUCUCAACAUUCAAAGAGAAGACACUAUAGUAUCAGUUCAUUAAACACCAUUUUUCAUUGGUAUAACAAGCCUCUAAAAGAUACUUGAAGUAGGUAUACUAGAAAUAGUUAUCUUUGUAGAAUCUUCUUUAAAUUCUGUUAGUCCAAUAUGAGAUCAUAUCAAUUAAUGUUUCUAGGAAUUCAUGGCAGAUAUUUUAAAUUCAUUAGAUAAAUAACUAUAUGCACCAGUUCAGUUCAGUUCGGCCGCUC